ACGGGCAAACAGGUCAAAAGAAGUAGAUUGCUAUUUUUUUGCUCUCCUCUAAGCGCAGAGAAAAUACCAGGAAAUAGCUAGGUCUCAAACCACCUAUUUAUGCUUUGACAAUUUACUUUAGUUAUGGCUUUGAAAAAUUUAGAUUCCCAAUCCCCCCACCCAAUUUAGAUCUCUGCUAGCAGAAGUUCCAGCCAUCCUACAGCACUCAUCCAUCUCAGCCCUCAAGUUCUUGUGGUUGAAGGAGUUACGUCAGUUGGAAAUUUUGCUCAUCUUUUGAUAUUUGUCAGAAGGCUGUUUAUUCCCUUUUGAGUAGACCAGAGUUGGAGGCAUGCCUCAGACAUUGCAUCAAGAGGAC
rnacentral:lncRNA from 1 species